GACGAACGCUGGCGGCGUGCUUAACACAUGCAAGUCGAACGGAAAGGCCCUGCUUUUGUGGGGUGCUCGAGUGGCGAACGGGUGGGUAACACGUGAGUAACCUGCCCUUGACUUUGGGAUAACUUCAGGAAACUGGGGCUAAUACCGGAUAGGAGCUCCUGCUGCAUGGUGGGGGUUGGAAAGUUUCGGCGGUUGGGGAUGGACUUGCGGCUUAUCAGCUUGUUGGUGGGGUAGUGGCUUACCAAGGCUUUGACGGGUAGCCGGCCUGAGAGGGUGACCGGCCACAUUGGGACUGAGAUACGGCCCAGACUCCUACGGGAGGCAGCAGUGGGGAAUAUUGCACAAUGGGCGGAAGCCUGAUGCAGCAACGCCGCGUGCGGGAUGACGGCCUUCGGGUUGUAAACCGCUUUCGCCUGUGACGAAGCGUGAGUGACGGUAAUGGGUAAAGAAGCACCGGCUAACUACGUG
rnacentral:rRNA from 1 species